rnacentral:rRNA from 1 species
UACGUAGGGUGCAAGCGUUGUCCGGAAUUAUUGGGCGUAAAGAGCGUGUAGGCGGCCCGAUUAGUCCGCUGUGAAAGUCCAGGGCUCAACCCUGGAAUGCCGGUGGAUACUGCAGGUCUAGAGUCCGGAAGAGGCGAGUGGAAUUCCUGGUGUAGCGGUGGAAUGCGCAGAUAUCAGGAGGAACACCAAUAGCGAAGGCAGCUCGCUGGGACGGUACUGACGCUAAGGCGCGAAAGCGUGGGGAGCGAACAGG